GAUGAAGAACGCAGUGAAAUGCGAUACGUAAUGUGAAUUGCAAAUUCAGUGAAUCAUCGAGUCUUUGAACGCACAUUGCGCCCCCUGGUAUUCCGGGGGGCAUGCCUGUCCGAGCGUCAUUGCUGCCCUCAAGCACGGCUUGUGUGUUGGGCCCCGUCCUCCGAUACCGGGGGACGGGCCCGAAAGGCAGCGGCGGCACCGCGUCCGGUCCUCGAGCGUAUGGGGCUUUGUCACCCGCUCUGUAGGCCCGGCCGGCGCUUGCCGAUCAACCCAAAUUUUUAUCCAGGUUGACCUCGGAUCAGGUAGGGAUACCCGCUGAACUUAAGCAUAUCAAUAAGCGGAGGA
rnacentral:misc_RNA from 1 species